AAAUUGAAGAGUUUGAUCAUGGCUCAGAUUGAACGCUGGCGGCAGGCCUAACACAUGCAAGUCGAACGGUAACAGGAAGCAGCUUGCUGCUUCGCUGACGAGUGGCGGACGGGUGAGUAAUGUCUGGGAAACUGCCUGAUGGAGGGGGAUAACUACUGGAAACGGUGGCUAAUACCGCAUAACGUCGCAAGACCAAAGAGGGGGACCUUCGGGCCUCUUGCCAUCAGAUGUGCCCAGAUGGGAUUAGCUGGUUGGUGAGGUAACGGCUCACCAAGGCGACGAUCCCUAGCUGGUCUGAGAGGAUGACCAGCCACACUGGAACUGAGACACGGUCCAGACUCCUACGGGAGGCAGCAGUGGGGAAUAUUGCACAAUGGGCGCAAGCCUGAUGCAGCCAUGCCGCGUGUAUGAAGAAGGCCUUCGGGUUGUAAAGUACUUUCAGCGGGGAGGAAGGUGUUGUGGUUAAUAAC
rnacentral:rRNA from 9 species